rnacentral:rRNA from 1 species
UACCUGCAGCUCAAGUGGUGGCCGCUAUUAUUGGGCCUAAAACGUCCGUAGCCGGUUUAGUAAAUGCCUGGGUAAAUCGUGCCGCUCAACGGUACGAAUUCUGGGUAGACUGCUAAGCUUGAGACCGGGAGAGGCUAGAGGUACUCCUGGGGUAGAGGUGAAAUUCUGUAAUCCUAGGGGGACCACCAGUGGCGAAGGUGUCUAGCUAGAACGGGUCUGACGGUGAGGGACGAAGCCCUGGGGCGCAAACCGGAUUAGAUACCCGGGUAGUCCAGGGUGUAAACGCUGCUUGCUUGAUGUUGGUUGGGCUCCGAGCCCAAUCAGUGUCGAAGAGAAGUUGUUAAGCAAGCUGCCUGGGAAGUACGAUCGCAAGAUUGAAACUUAAAGGAAUUGGCGGGGGAGCACAGCAACGGGUGGAGCGCGCGGUUU